GACGUAGGGGGCCAGCGUUGUUCGGAAUUACUGGGUGUAAAGGGUUCGUAGGCGGUGCGGCAAGUUGGGAGUGAAAUCUCUGGGCUUAACCCAGAGGCUGCUUCCAAAACUGCUGUGCUUGAGUGUGGGAGAGGCGCGUGGAAUUGCAGGUGUAGCGGUGAAAUGCGUAGAUAUCAGGAAGAACACCCGUGGCGAAGGCGGCUCUCUGGGACGGUACUGACGCUGAGACGCGAAAGCGUGGGGAGCAAACAGG
rnacentral:rRNA from 1 species